rnacentral:lncRNA from 1 species
GUUAAACGGCAAUAAAAUGAAAAUUCGUUUAAAGUAAAAAAAUUAGAAAAAUGAAUUGAUUACAUUUCUUCAAAGGGCGCUUUGAUUAUAAAUGCCGGAGUCUGUCUCAAACGGAGACGAAUUUGGACCUUAGUUCUGCUAGACAGUAGAAGGCAAAUAUGAAGGUGCAAACAGCUGGUCUAAUAAUAUGUGCGCUCGUGCUUUUCGCACUCGCCCUUACUGACGCCCAGCAGUGGGGGGGCGGCGGCUUCGGUUACAUGCCUUAUAGACGUGGCGGCUACCACGGCUACUACAGACAUGGGGGACAUCACCACCACACCUAUUCUCGUCGUCCUUAUUUCCGUGACUAUUACCACCGUCAUCGCGGUGGCUACUUUCCCCACCAUCAUCGUUAUCCAAGGCCCUACUAUUAGAAACAGGAUUUACACAGCAGGUAUAAAACCAGAGCACAGCAAAUUCGUUUCAAGUUCUGUGUUCUCCUUGCUGAAAUAAAAUGAUUUUAAAAGUUAA